GUCUUAACCUUUAUUCAUCAAAGUAAAGCGAAACAUGGACAUCCAUCCAGAGGAAGAUGACCGGGGGUAUCACUAGACUAGCAUCCAUCAAGUUCACCAUCAUAAUCUUCAUCUGCAAACUUCUGAUCAAAAUUAAACAAGUGUUAGCUCACUUAUGGUUGGGGCUCAGCAAGUGGGGUGAAAAUGCAAGGUAACAAGGUAAGGCUAAAGUUUAAUGCGAUUGGCAUUUUAGUUGGUCAACAUUUUAUUAUCAACACCUGAUUACUAGGUAUAAGUAUAUACCAAACCCAAUUAAGCAUAAUUCAUAAUCAUCAUAAGCUCAAACCACUUGAUCCAAAAAGGACCACAAUUUAUUUUCAUCUUCAAGUUUGAUUAUCAUGUGAGGGUCCAGGCUACUCUUAACCGUGAGCACGACUGAUAUAUCAGUUUUACACUCUGCAGAGGUGGUACAACUUUACCCACAAGCCGCAUUUCCCCUCUAGCCUGGGUCGGCCAAACCCAUAAAUACUUCUGAGGUGAAUGGCUAGGGAUCCACUAUGAGGCUUUCACAGAAUACACUUAAUACAAAGCAACCCGCUAAGGUUUCCAUGUCGGAGUGGAGGCCCUCUGGGUGAGGUACCUUAGCCAAGAAUACAUCCCCAUGUUAACGUAAGCUGCCACCACUGCCGCUCCCCCUCUUGCCCAUAUUUCAAGUAAGGUUGCUAGGCACUAAGCAUAAAAGCUAAUUACCAAAGCCAGAGCCAUGAUAGCACUCGUGGUUGCACUAUUUUCCUGGGUGGUCACUCCAUGUUCCAAUUAUCACAAUAUGAUCUUGCUUAACCAUCGGAUUAACAACAACAAUGUAAACUUACCAUUUGGAACAUUAAUAUCAUCAAUAGGAGUACCAGCAUAAAGUUAAAGUCAUAGAAAUAGCAUAGCUACUUGAUUAGAUCAAAACCCAGGUUAACAAGGAAUAAGGUUGGAAAGGUUAUGUGUAUCUGAAUAGGUAACCCAUCAAAUUAUGCAUAUAUAUCCAACAAUAAACUUUAUUAAAUGUAUUGUUUGGGAUCAAACAGAGUUUGCAGAGGGAGAAGUCCACUUGCCUUGCUUAUUGAAAACUUAAGAUUCUUCCACGGAUCGGAAUAUAUCUUGAUUCUUAACUACUUGAUCAACCACUGAAUAUCACACAAACAAACAAGAAGAAACAAAACACCACUCAAUAACAUACAACAUUCACCAUACAUAAAGCUAAAAGAAAGCUUAACGAAAAGACCAUUUGCUAUUAAAAAACAUCGCAAGUAAUGGUUAUAACAAGAAGACACUCUCUUGAAAAAGGUUUGGUUCAUAUUUCAUAAAACAAGACUUAAGCUUGAAAAUAUCUUAAUUAUAAAUUUAUAACCAUUAGGCGAACCAAUUUAAUCUUUUUAGAAAAAGUUAUAUAGAGUAACUAAGGCUAUGGGCUAAAGGAUUAUAAAACACAUUUAUUCAACACUUAGUUAUGAAGCAUUAUAAAAUACACUAUUAAACAUUAUUAAACCUUUUUAGAAAAUAAAUGUUAUAUAUCUAAGGUUGAUGAGUUAUGAAACACAUUAUUAAACAUUACUUUUAUAAAAAGCUCAUAAAUAGCUUAAACAACUUUUUAUGUGAAAAGAUCCUAAUUAUAUUAUUAAACACCUAUUUACGAAGAGUUAGGUUAUAGGCCUUAAGUGGAUUUUCAUGAAAAAGAUAAUGAACAAAUAACUAUCUUUUAUUUUUAUUAGAAGGUACAUGGUCUAUAUUCUUUAUUAAGAAAGCUAUAUACAAAACAAUAUGUAAACUAACAUUUUAAUUAUAAAAAGAACAUGAACAUUAAUUUCUUUAUUUUAUUCUUUAGGAAAAACUAAAUGAUAUAUAUAAAUAAUAUGGAUUCAAUUUGACGAACGGAUUAAUCACGCUUAUAUUACUAGUUAUGGACAAAUUGAAAUGUAAGUCUAAUUAAUAAAUUGUGAGAAAAUAUAAAUAAUCUAUUGAUUAUAUUUAGUUUCAGUUUAGGAACAUAUGAUCUAAAUCAUUUGAAAGGAAAAUGUAUAAAUGUAACACCCCGGGAUCCACAAACACCCCAGAAUGCUACUAAACUACACUUCUAACAUUCGUAUAUAAAAUUUCGACAACAUCUCCUUUGAAAAUUGCAUAAACGGGGAAGCAACAAAGUAUAAAUAGAUAUCAUGAUAAGAAAACAUAAUCGACAUUAAUAAUCUGCUAGCAAUGGGAAGACAACCAUAACAACAUGAACUAAAUUAAUCAGUGCGCACAACUAGUUAGAAACAAACAUCCUUUGACAAGAAGCUUCUAAUUAAAUCAUGACUGCGCCUAACCAGUGUUAUUAUGAGAGUGAAGGUGGAUGUGCUGCUACUUCCCACUUCCCUGGAUGAGCAACAAGCACCUGUAUUGAGUAAUGCAAGAGUGAGAUGAAACAUCUCAGCACGCCAAUUGUUCUGACGAGAUAUUUAAACCACAAAUUUAAUUAAUCAACAUUUUAAAAGAAUCACAAUUAAGAUCAGAAAUACUUGUAGAUAUAGAACUCAGUAGUCCCAAUAUAACCAAUACCAUCUCAUUUCCUCGAAUAACCACACUAGGUUCUAUAACACUUCCCUGCAUCAACAAAACCUACAAAUAUCACUUCAAUGUAUGCAUAGGAGUGCAAAGUGUAGGUACUCUGUCUUCAUACCUCUGAGGGUAUAAAACCACAUCAUCUGCAAAUAUCACUUCAAUGAAUGCAUAUGAAUGCAAUGCAUAUGUCCUCUGCCUUCAUACCUCUAAGGGUAUGAAGCCGCAUCGUACCCCUCCUCGGGCAACGUACGAUGCUAAGUUGUACCGGUACGGUCGGACCAUAGGUCACGACCCAACUUCAUAUGCAAGUGAAUCAUGCAAUGUAUAUGGCAUGCUGCAUUUAUCAAUAUACUUGACUUCCUUCACAUACAAUACAACCUCAAAUAAUACUUCAUUUACCUUCAGAUACAAUACCAACCUCAAAUAAUAUUUCAUUCACCUUCAGAUACAAUACCAAUCUCAAAUAAUACUUCAUUUACCAUCAAGGGUGUGAAUUAAUCUCAUGAGUCAUACUCGAAUCAUAAUCAUCAUCAAUAUAUGAUUGAGCAUCAGUAUAAUGCAAGCAAGUAAAGCAUCACCAUAGAGUCCAAUUAUGAAAGAAUCCAAUACUUCUGAAUAUUAGAGUGUAGGCAAUAGAAAUAACAGGUUAGAACAGAAGCAACCACCGCUACAUUCACUUGCCUUCAUCGAAGAAGAAAAAUGUACUAGGCAUGAUCUGAAGUGUAGCCACCUGCUAGUGGGCAUAAAACUUAGUACAAAUAUUUCACAAACAUUUGCCAACGAUCAACAAAACACUCCUACACUUGAAACCAAGACCCAGUGGAAAGACUACCACCCUAAACCACAUGCCAUACAGCAGCAACACUGUUUGUUAAUUUUGUAUAUUUAAAAUUAAAACAGUGGUGAUAUCAAAAAAAUACUCUAGAAGUAUCUACCGAAAACACUCUACAACUUCGGUAUUCAAUGCAUAAUUAAAUUCUGCAAUCAAUAAGUUGUAAAACAUCUGACAAGAUAACUGACUGAAUCUGUUUUAGACAGCAGCCUAGUUAACUUCAAAAUUCGAUAUCUCCCAAACUACUAAACCAAAAAUUAUGAAAUUCUGCUGGCAGUAUUAACUUUUAUCCCUCUACAAAAGUCUCUAUAGUUGGAAGAGCCAAUUCGGCCAUUUACUAGAUGAAACCCACCAGUGAACAGACCCACUCAUUUUUGUGAGGCAAACAGGAACAACCACAGUAAAACAAACAUAACUGGAGUUUUAUAAAUCAUAUGAAUGCACUCUUUAACAAUCUGGAAAGCUUAUGAAAUUAUCUACAACUUCUUUUACCAACCCAUAGUUUAAUUCUGUUGAUAAAAUUGACUAACUCUUAAGAGAACAGAUUCUGCACAGAAUUAUGAGACUGAAAAACUGCUAUAGUCAAACUGCAAUAACUUUCUGUUCUGAUGUCCGAUUGAGGUGUUCUUCGCGACCACAGAAAGAUAUACAAAUUAUCUACGACUCAUAUAUAGACGUUUUAUUUUUUUGAGGCCACUAAGACCACGGAAAACUGGCAUAAACAGAAACUGUCGAAUCUGCCAUUCUGCAGAAAUUAAAUUCGAGAUCAAAACCUAACCCCACAUCUAAUCCAAACUCUAAUCCUUCAAUCCACAUGAUCCAUAACCUCCAAAAGCACAUAAUUAUAGGGAGGAACAAGGAUCCCAUCCUUACCUAGGGUUUCCCCAAGAAAAUCUGCAAGAGAUGGGGAUAGAACAUCUCCUUGAUCCUCUCUUCCUCUUCAAUCCAUCUUGCUCCUCCUCUUCUUGAUCCUUGCUGCGUGGGGGAGAUCUAGAGGGAGGAGGAAGCAGUGGAGGGCGGCUGCAAGGGGAAGGGGGAGGGGCGGCCAAGGGUGGGGAAAAAGGGGGGGGGGGGUUGGCGGCCAAGAAAAGGGGAAAAGGGAGGGUCGACCACUAGGGUUUUGUGGGAGAAAGAAACGACGCCUCCGAUGUCUCCUGACUUUGCAUCUAAUGGCCCACAACUCUUUCCCUCAUCCACGCACCGAAGAUCAACUUUUGGUCAAUAUUUUUUUGGGAUAUUACACUCUAUCCCCCUUAAAAAGAAUUCGUCCUCGAAUUCGACCACUCCAAGCAAAACACUCAAGGUACCCCAUAUAGCACCACCAUUCGAAACAUGGGUCCAUUAUUGUUCUUAAUUAACACAAGAACUUCUACAUUGGACUAAUUGUCUAAGGAAACUACACAACCUGACAUCAAGCAUGAACCAACAUGUAAUUAAGCUCAAACCAAGUCAUAGAUGCAAUCAACACUACGAUUUCACAACAUCGAAUUUGGAUGCAGCCAUACAUCAGCAUCAAUGUCUUAAAACGACACUCUUUUAUGAAGGGGUAAUAUGCACUAAGCACAACCUUUACCAACUUCAACAAUUCAUUUUAAGUCAAUGGUGAAACAUCCACACCAGAUGAAUGUAUAAGAAGACCAAACACCUCACCUCACAGCACCACAAAACAAGUAGUUCUAUUGAAACAAAACUCCUAAUCUUCCUAAACCUUGUUCUUGCCAUAAUGAAAAGAUAAUCAUGUAAUCUAACAUACUUUGGACCCCACCAAAAGGGAGAAAAUCAACAGAACUAAUGGAGCAAUAAAGCCGACAAGAAGCCAAUAAAAUCUUGCGCGGCACAGUUCAUCAAAGAAAUGCCAAAAACUCUACAUAGAGCACUGGCAGCCCAACAACAACACAAUAUUUGCUUAACCCAUGUCACUAUACUUCAUUCAGAAUCUCAACUAAGAAAAAUAUCCAACUAGUAAGGUUAACCUACACAUAAUAUAAGUCUUCAUCUAUUGUAGUUCAGAAACGUACAUUUCAUUCUAUCAUAUGAUGCACUCAAAGUACCAAACCUAAAGGGUCAAUACUAAUCCCGUAAUCCUUCACACAUUUGGCAAACAUCUCAAGCUGAUGUAAAAACCACAUCAUUUAGGAAUAGGUGACUAACCACACACAACCAACUCUAGGCUAGGCAAUGACUUCAUUCAAACCAAUAGAUAAGUGGUCCAACAAUGGCUCCACAAACAUGCAUCGGGGAGAGAACCAUCAGAUCCUCAACGUAUUAAUACAUAAUCAAUGGAUCAAGAAAAUCAAAGAUUUUAUUCUACAAUUAGCAUGACUAACAUGCAACCACUUUAAACCACAUCUAGGCUUUGUGGCUACUAAAACACACGAUAGAGGAGAGACAUGUAAGCCAUUCUGGCUAUGUAAAGACUUCCCCCAAAAUCCAUAUAAAAGAACCAAUAUUCAUUUCUUUCAGAACUGGUUUCUCGACAUAAACAAUCAUUCUUUGCAAAGAUAGUUGGAGCUAUCCACCAACCACUCAACAACUUAAAUUCAAAUUGAUGAUUACCUUGUACCCCAAAACACACAAUUCACACUCCUCUUAGAAACAUCCUCAAUCAAGCAUAUAUAACAAUAUUAUUGUAAUAAAACUCAACCAUGAAAAACAUGGUGAAAACAACAUAUGCAUACUUGUAUAUCACAAGCAUAGUAACAACUUCAAUCUCACAAAUGACCAGCGAUAUCAACCGCAUUAAUAAAACAAUAACAAUUUUUCAGAAAUAAAUUAUAUCAAGCAUUAAGCCAUAAACAACUUACCACAUCACCGUAAAGGAAUCGGGAGGGGUGAAAUUAUUGUCAUCUGCACUUCAAAGUCACUAAUAUAUAUCAAAGAUACUUGAACCCAUACCCUUCCUAUAUGUGCAAGUGUGUCAAAUUUAUCUUCAAAUUGCCAAGAAUCUAAAGCCUAAGCUUUGAUACCAACUGUAACACCCCGGGAUCCACAAACACCCCAGAAUGCUACUAAACUACACUUCUAACAUUCGUAUAUAAAAUUUCGACAACAUCUCCUUUGAAAAUUGCAUAAACGGGGAAGCAACAAAGUAUAAAUAGAUAUCAUGAUAAGAAAACAUAAUCGACAUUAAUAAUCUGCUAGCAAUGGGAAGACAACCAUAACAACAUGAACUAAAUUAACCAGUGCGCACAACUAGUUAGAAACAAACAUCCUUUGACAAGAAGCUUCUAAUUAAAUCAUGACUGCGCCUAACCAGCGUUAUUAUGAGAGUGAAGGUGGAUGUGCUGCUACUUCCCACUUCCCUGGAUGAGCAACAAGCACCUGUAUUGAGUAAUGCAAGAGUGAGAUGAAACAUCUCAGCAAGCCAAUCGUUCUGACGAGAUAUUUAAACCACAAAUUUAAUUAAUCAACAUUUUAAAAGAAUCACAAUUAAGAUCAGAAAUACUUGUAGAUAUAGAACUCAGUAGUCCCAAUAUAACCAAUACCAUCUCAUUUCCUCGAAUAACCACACUAGGUUCUAUAACACUUCCCUGCAUCAACAAAACCUACAAAUAUCACUUCAAUGUAUGCAUAGGAGUGCAAAGUGUAGGUACUCUGUCUUCAUACCUCUGAGGGUAUAAAACCACAUCAUCUGCAAAUAUCACUUCAAUGAAUGCAUAUGAAUGCAAUGCAUAUGUCCUCUGCCUUCAUACCUCUAAGGGUAUGAAGCCGCAUCAUACCCCUCCUUGGGCAACGUACGAUGCUAAGUUGUACCGGUACGGUCGGACCAUAGGUCACGACCCAACUUCAUAUGCAAGUGAAUCAUGCAAUGUAUAUGGCAUGCUGCAUUUAUCAAUAUACUUGACUUCCUUCACAUACAAUACAACCUCAAAUAAUACUUCAUUUACCUUCAGAUACAAUACCAACCUCAAAUAAUAUUUCAUUCACCUUCAGAUACAAUACCAACCUCAAAUAAUACUUCAUUUACCUUCAAGGGUGUGAAUUAAUCUCAUGAGUCAUACUCGAAUCAUAAUCAUCAUCAAUAUAUGAUUGAGCAUCAGUAUAAUGCAAGCAAGUAAAGCAUCACCAUAGAGUCCAAUUAUGAAAGAAUCCAAUACUUCUGAAUAUUAGAGUGUAGGCAAUAGAAAUAACAGGUCAGAACAGAAGAAACCACCGCUACAUUCACUUGCCUUCAUCGAAGAAGAAAAAUGUACUAGGCAUGAUCUGGAGUGUAGCCACCUGCUAGUGGGUAUAAAACUUAGUACAAAUAUUUCACAAACAUUUGCCAACGAUCAACAAAACACUCCUACACUUGAAACCAAGACCCAGUGGAAAGACUACCACCCUAAACCACAUGCCAUACAGCAGCAACACUGUUUGUUAAUUUUGUAUCUUUAAAAUUAAAACAGUGGUGAUAUCAAAAAAAUAAUCUAGAAGUAUCUACCGAAAACACUCUACAACUUCGGUAUUCAAUGCAUAAUUAAAUUCUGCCAUCAAUAAGUUGUAAAACAUCUGACAAGAUAACUGACUGAAUCUGUUUUAGACAGCAGCCUAGUUAACUUCAAAAUUCGAUAUCUCCCAAACCACUAAACCAAAAAUUAUGAAAUUCUGCUGACAGUAUUAACUUUUAUCCCUCUACAAAAGUCUCUAUAGUUGGAAUAGCCAAUUCGGCCAUUUACUAGAUGAAACCCACCAGUGAACAGACCCACUCAUUUUUGUGAGGCAAACAGGAACAACCACAGUAAAACAAACAUAACUGGAGUUUUAUAAAUCAUAUGAAUGCACUCUUUAACAAUCUGGAAAGCUUAUGAAAUUAUCUACAACUUCUUUUACCAACCCAUAGUUUAAUUCUGUUGAUAAAAUUGACUAACUUUUAAGAGAACAGAUUCUGCACAGAAUUAUGAGACUGAAAAGCUGCUAUAGUCAAACUGCAAUAACUUUCUGUUCUGAUGUCCGAUUGAGGUGUUCUUCGCGGCCACAGAAAGAUAUACAAAUUAUCUACGACUCAUAUAUAGACUUUUUAUUUUUUUGAGGCCACUAAGACCACGAAAAACUGGCAUAAACAGAAACUGUCGAAUCUGCCAUUCUGCAGAAAUUAAAUUCGAGAUCAAAACCUAACCCCACAUCUAAUCCAAACUCUAAUCCUUCAAUCCACAUGAUCCAUAACCUCCAAAAGCACAUAAUUAUAGGGAGGAACAAGGAUCCCAUCCUUACCUAGGGUUCCCCAAGAAAAUCUGCAAGAGAUGGGGAUAGAACAUCUCCUUGAUCCUCUCUUCCUCUUCAAUCCAUCUUGCUCCUCCUCUUCUUGAUCCUUGCUGCGUGGGGGAGAUCUAGAGGGAGGAGGAAGCAGUGGAGGGCGGCUGCAAGGGGAAGGGGGAGGGGCGGCCAAGAGUGGGGAAAAGGGGGG
rnacentral:lncRNA from 1 species